GCUGGGUACAGUGACUUGUGCCUGUAAUCCCAGCAUUUUGGGAGGCUGAGGUGGGUGGGUCACUUGAGGCCAGGAGUUCGAGACCAGCCUGGCCAACAUGGUGAAACCCCGCCUCUA
ensembl:misc_RNA Metazoa_SRP Metazoan signal recognition particle RNA